GUCUAUGGUCGUGCCACCUUCAACAAGCCCAAUUUUGUCUGAUCUCAGAAGCUAAGCAGGGUAGGGCCUGGUUUAGUACUUUGGAUGGGGGACCGCCUAGGAAGACCAGGUGCUAUAGGUG
rnacentral:rRNA from 1 species